UUACCGGUCCAGGACUCUACCAAUAGGAGAUAUGCGAAAUGUGACGCCAUCUGUUGCCCUCUUGACGAAGCGCAUCCGCCAUUUUCGUCAGGGCGAAGUUGGGAAGGCGCGCGCUUUGUCUGCACUGAAGUGUCCGACGUGGAUAGUGCUUGCAGCACUCCGAACACUUUUUCUACCUGAAGGACCGUCUUGUGAAAGGAAUGUGAGGAUGCCACCGCACUGCUGCGUGCCUCUAUGCAAGCAACGAGGCACAAGAGACGAGGACGGCAAAAAGGUCUCAUUUCAUCGCUUCCCGAAACGAAAGGACGUGUACAGCAAAUGGAUUAUAGCCAUUAGACGUGAUGAAGGCAAACUUUUCAGUGUCAACAAGUCUACGGUGGUGUGUUCGAAGCACUUCAAGGAAGCCGACUUCCUCCCUAACAUCGCAAGUGGCCUGCACAUCCUUCGUGAGGAUGCUGUGCCGUCACUCUUUGCCUUCCGAAAGGUUGUUCCUGCGAGGAAGGCACCGAAGGACCGUUCCGGCGCGUCACAGAAGACAUCGGAGUCCAACACCAUGGUGUAUGUUGCAACGUAGGCUGUUCACUGGUUUGGCAUCGGACAAGGAAUGCGUCAUCAAGAGUGACUUUUUGAGGUUGCCGUUUGGCCAAGGGAACUCUCUAAUAGCUGACAAGGGCUUCCUUAUAGCGGAUGAUAUGGAACGCAUAGGUGUGCGACUAAAUAUCCCACCGUUCCCGCAAAACAGAGCAAUCACUCCAGCAACUCAACGAAACCAAGGAGAUUGCUUCGCUACGAAUACAUGUGGAACAAAGAAUACAGAGGGUGAAGUCAUUUAAUAUUUUUGACAGCCCGGUGUCUGCAAAGCUGUCUGGUAUCAUGAAUCAGAUGUGGACUGUUGCAGUCAUUCUGACAAACUUUCAGGGACCUAUCAUUGUAAAACCUGGUGAAUGAAGUUUGCGAACACCAUCCUCAGACCGGAGAUUCGUUUUCAUGUGUGGAAGUCUCCAGAACAUUUGUGUAGUAUAUGCCAGUAAAAUGACAGAUUGUG